GAUGAACGCUGGCGGCGUGCCUAAUACAUGCAAGUCGAGCGAACAGACGAGGAGCUUGCUCCUUUGACGUUAGCGGCGGACGGGUGAGUAACACGUAGGUAACCUACCUAUAAGACUGGGAUAACUUCGGGAAACCGGAGCUAAUACCGGAUAAUAUUCCGAACCGCAUGGUUCGAUAGUGAAAGAUGGCUUUGCUAUCACUUAUAGAUGGACCUGCGCCGUAUUAGCUAGUUGGUAAGGUAACGGCUUACCAAGGCAACGAUACGUAGCCGACCUGAGAGGGUGAUCGGCCACACUGGAACUGAGACACGGUCCAGACUCCCACGGGAGGCAGCAGUAGGGAAUCUUCCGCAAUGGGCGAAAGCCUGACGGAGCAACGCCGCGUGAGUGAUGAAGGUCUUCGGAUCGUAAAACUCUGUUAUUAGGGAAGAACAAACGUGUAAGUAACUGUGCACGUCUUGACGGUACCUAAUCAGAAAGCCACGGCUAACUACGUG
rnacentral:rRNA from 1 species